UGGUAGAAAGCUUACCAAGAGCACUGGGCUUUUAACCCAGUGGUCGCGGGUUCGAAUCCCGCACGGCCCA
rnacentral:tRNA from 1 species